AAAGAGGACGUGAAACCGAUGAGGUGGAAACGGACAGAGCUGGCGUAUCUGGCCUGUAUUCAGCCGUGCGUCCGUUGGCGUCAGGGAUGCCGCUCUCCAGAUUGGGACGGUGGCCUGUCUGCUGGCGGAUGUGUGGUGCAUUUGCAGGUGGAGUGCGCUGAGGCGCUCGGGUCAGCGGCAUGAGCUCAGUGUUGAGGCCAGCCCCUCACGGGGUCUGGUACCCGCAUUGUGGGGAGUGCUGUUUGUCCUGGGUGUGUGGAGGGCAAUGGUUUCGGGUUCGUGUGGGUGCCGAGCUGGCAGUCGGUGGCGGUCGCGUGCGACACGUGCCAGCGGUCAGUUCGGUCCUGCUCGAGCUCUCAUCUGCUCGUCCUCGGUGUAAAAGCCGGUCAUCUGUCCGACCCGUCUUGAAACACGGACCAAGGAGUUUAGCGUGUGCGCGAGUCAUUGGGCGUUGAAAACCCAAAGGCGCAAUGAAAGUGAAGGUCUCCCUUGCGGAGCUGAUGUGUGAUCCUGGGCACUGCGGUGCACACCGGGCGCAACAUAGUCCCGUCCCGAU
rnacentral:rRNA from 1 species